UNUGACUUGAGUGCAGAAGGGGAGAGUGGAAUUCCAUGUGUAGCGGUGAAAUGCGUAGAUAUAUGGAGGAACACCAGUGGCGAAAGCGGCUCUCUGNUCUGUCACUGACGCUGAGGCUCGAAAGCGUGGGUAGCGAACAGGAUUAGAUACCCUGGUAGUCCACGCCGUAAACGAUGAGUGCUAGGUGUUAGGCCCUUUCCGGGGCUUAGUGCCGGAGCUAACGCAAUAAGCACUCCGCCUGGGGAGUACGACCGCAAGGUUGAAACUCAAAGGAAUUGACGGGGGCCCGCACAAGCGGUGGAGCAUGUGGUUUAAUUCGAAGCAACGCGAAGAACCUUACCAGGUCUUGACAUCCCGAUGCUAUUCUUAGAGAUAGGAAGUUUCUUCGGUACAUCGGAGACAGGUGGUGCAUGGUUGUCGUCAGCUCGUGUCGUGAGAUGUUGGGUUAAGUCCCGCAACGAGCGCAACCCUUAUUGUUAGUUGCCAUCAUUAAGUUGGGCACUCUAGCGAGACUGCCGGUAAUAAACCGGAGGAAGGUGGGGAUGACGUCAAGUCAUCAUGCCCCUUAUGACCUGGGCUACACACGUGCUACAAUGGUCGGUACAACGAGUUGCGAGCCGGUGACGGCAAGCUAAUCUCUGAAAGCCGAUCUCAGUUCGGAUUGGAGGCUGCAACUCGCCUCCAUGAAGUCGGAAUCGCUAGUAAUCGCGGAUCAGCACGCCGCGGUGAAUACGUUCCCGGGCCUUGUACACACCG
rnacentral:rRNA from 1 species